ACUAUUAUACACAUACCUACAGGCUUACAAUAUGUGUAACUUGCGAGUUACGGGACCAUUAAAAUAAGAGGCGUUUAAGCAGCAACUCGUUUACCGGCUUAUAUAAUGACGGUUCGAACCAUCAAACGCUCUUUCCGACCGAGCAACUGCUAGUACAGAGUCGAGCGUGUCCUCAAAAAUUCGCUUGCUGGACGGGUAGAGGUAAUAAGAACACAGAAACUAUGCAGACUUGGGAAAAAAUCAUGAGCAAUAAGUUAUUUUCAAGAAUGCUCAAUACAACGGCCCUAAAAGAAGCCACGCUAAGAGGACUGAAAGGUCAAAGCUGUGAAACAUACGCCCCAUGCCCGAUCGAGGAGAGAUCAUUACCCAGGAUACUAAAGAACUUCGCAACUUUAACCAACUAUAAAUAAUAGAAAUAUAAAUUAAUUUAUAAAAA